rnacentral:rRNA from 1 species
AGGACGAACGCUGGCGGCGUGCUUAACACAUGCAAGUCGAACGGUGAUAUCAGGGCUUGCUCUGGUUGAUCAGUGGCGAACGGGUGAGUAACACGUGAGUAACCUGCCCCUGACUCUGGGAUAACUUCGGGAAAUCGGAGCUAAUACCGGAUACGAGACGCAUCCGCAUGGGUAGCGUCUGGAAAGAUUUAUUGGUCUGGGAUGGACUCGCGGCCUAUCAGCUUGUUGGUGAGGUAAUGGCUCACCAAGGCGACGACGGGUAGCCGGCCUGAGAGGGCGACGGCCAACGACUGGGACUGAGAUACGGCCCAGACUCCUACGGGAGGCAGCAGUGGGGAAUAUUGCACAAUGGGCGAAAGCCUGAUGCAGCGACGCGCGUGAGGAUGAAGCCUUGGGUUGAAACCUCUUUCAGCGAGGAAGAGCGCAAGGUGACGUAACCGUGACCGAGAAGAAGCGACCGGACAACGUACGUAGCCCAGCGAGCCGACGGUAAC